rnacentral:rRNA from 1 species
CUAAUACAUGCAAGUCGAGCGGACCGACGGGAGCUUGCUCCCUUAGGUCAGCGGCGGACGGGUGAGUAACACGUGGGUAACCUGCCUGUAAGACUGGGAUAACUCCGGGAAACCGGGGCUAAUACCGGAUGCUUGAUUGAACCGCAUGGUUCAAUCAUAAAAGGUGGCUUUCAGCUACCACUUACAGAUGGACCCGCGGCGCAUUAGCUAGUUGGUGAGGUAACGGCUCACCAAGGCGACGAUGCGUAGCCGACCUGAGAGGGUGAUCGGCCACACUGGGACUGAGACACGGCCCAGACUCCUACGGGAGGCAGCAGUAGGGAAUCUUCCGCAAUGGACGAAAGUCUGACGGAGCAACGCCGCGUGAGUGAUGAAGGUUUUCGGAUCGUAAAACUCUGUCGUUAGGGAAGAACAAGUACCGUUCGAAUAGGGCGGCACCUUGACGGUACCUAACCAGAAAGCCACGGCUAACUACGUGCCAGCAGCCGCGGUAAUACGUAGGUGGCAAGCGUUGUCCGGAAUUAUUGGGCGUAAAGCGCGCGCAGGCGGUUUCUUAAGUCUGAUGUGAAAGCCCCCGGCUCAACCGGGGAGGGUCAUU